rnacentral:rRNA from 1 species
UACGUAGGGUGCAAGCGUUAUCCGGAAUCACUGGGCGUAAAGCGUGCGUAGGUGGGAAUUUAAGUGUGAUGUUAAAUCGUGUGGCUCAACCAUAUCGAUGCAUCGCAUACUGGGUUCCUAGAGGACGGCAGAGGCAAGUGGAAUUAGCAGUGUAGCAGUGAGAUGCGUAGAUAUUGCUAGGAACACCAAUGGCGAAGGCAGCUUGCUGGGCCACUCCUGACACUGAGGUACGAAAGCGUGGGGAGCGAACAGG